UGGNGGGCAUGCUUACCAUGCAGUCGAACGGUAACAGGUCUUCGGAUGCUGACGAGUGGCGAACGGGUGAGUAAUACAUCGGAACGUGCCCGAUCGUGGGGGAUAACGCAGCGAAAGCUGUGCUAAUACCGCAUACGAUCUACGGAUGAAAGCGGGGGAUCGCAAGACCUCGCGCGGACGGAGCGGCCGAUGGCAGAUUAGGUAGUUGGUGGGAUAAAAGCUUACCAAGCCGACGAUCUGUAGCUGGUCUGAGAGGACGACCAGCCACACUGGGACUGAGACACGGCCCAGACUUCUACGGGAGGCAGCAGUGGGGAAUUUUGGACAAUGGGCGAAAGCCUGAUCCAGCAAUGCCGCGUGCAGGAUGAAGGCCUUCGGGUUGUAAACUGCUUUUGUACGGAACGAAAAGACUCUGGUUAAUACCUGGGGUUCAUGACGGUACCGUAAGAAUAAGCACCGGCUAACUACGUGCCAGCAGCCGCGGUAAUACGUAGGGUGCAAGCGUUAAUCGGAAUUACUGGGCGUAAAGCGUGCGCAGGCGGUGAUGUAAGACAGAUGUGAAAUCCCCGGGCUCAACCUGGGAACUGCAUUAGUGACUGCAUCGCUGGAGUGCGGCAGAGGGGGAUGGAAUUCCGCGUGUAGCAGUGAAAUGCGUAGAUAUGCGGAGGAACACCGAUGGCGAAGGCAAUCCCCUGGGCCUGCACUGACGCUCAUGCACGAAAGCGUGGGGAGCAAACAGGAUUAGAUACCCUGGGUAGUCCACGCCCUAAACUAUGUCAACUGGUUGUUGGGAAUUCACUUUCUCAGUAACGAAGCUAACGCGUGAAGUUGACCGCCUGGGGAGUACGGCCGCAAGGUUAAAACUCAAAGGAAUUGACGGGGACCCGCACAAGCGGUGGAUGAUGUGGUUUAAUUCGAUGCAACGCGAAAACCUUACCCACCUUUGA
rnacentral:rRNA from 1 species